rnacentral:rRNA from 1 species
AUACGCUAGCGGCAGGCNCCUACAGGUCUAAGUCGAGGGGCAGCGGGGUCACGCAUACCGCCGGCGACCGGCAAACGGGUGCGAACACGUACACAACCUUCCUUUUAGUGGGGCAUAGCCCAGAGAAAUUUGGAUUAAUACCCCGUAAGAUAUUAGAGCGGCAUCGCUCAGAUAUUAUAGGUUUACCGCUAAGAGAUGGGUGUGCGGCUGAUUAGGUAGUUGGCGGAGUAAUAGCCCACCAAGCCGACGAUCAGUAGCUGAUGUGAGAGCAUGAUCAGCCACACUGGUACUGAGACACGGACCAGACUCCUACGGGAGGCAGCAGUAAGGAAUAUUGGUCAAUGGAGGCAACUCUGAACCAGCCAUGCCGCGUGCAGGAAGACUGCCCUAUGGGUUGUAAACUGCUUUUAUACGGGAAUAAACAAUCUUUCGUGAAAGAUCUUGAAUGUACCGUAAGAAUAAGGAUCGGCUAACUCCGUGCCAGCAGCCGCGGUAAUACGGAGGAUCCAAGCGUUAUCCGGAUUAAUUGGGUUUAAAGGGAGCGUAGGCGGCCUAUUAAGUCAGGGGUGAAAGACGGUGGCUCAACC